rnacentral:rRNA from 1 species
UACGUAGGAUCCGAGCGUUGUCCGGAUUUACUGGGUGUAAAGGGUGCGCAGGCGGACUGGUAAGUCAGUGGUGAAAUCUCGUCGCUUAACGACGAAACUGCCUUUGAUACUAUCAGUCUUGAAUCCGGUAGAGAUCUGUGGAAUUCCGAGUGUAGCAGUGAAAUGUGUAGAUAUUCGGAAGAACACCAGUGGCGAAGGCAGCAGAUUGGGCCGGUAUUGACGCUCAGGCACGAAAGCAUGGGGGAUCAAACAGG